rnacentral:lncRNA from 1 species
AGUCAUUGUCAAAACCCUUUUUUACCAUAUUUGAGCAUCAAAGGAGGUUUGAAGGGUGUGGCUCUCAGGCUAAGUCUAACCUGGAGUCCAUUAUUAACUUCAACUUUUGUCACUUCUGUAGUCUUUCUAUCAUCUCAAAGUGCUGUGUCAGCAUUAUUCUGUUAGAAAUUGUACUUGUAGCCGGGCGCGGUGGCUCACGUCUGUAAUCCCAGCACUUUGGGAGGCCGAGGCGGGCGGAUCAUCUGAGGUCAGGAGUUCAAGACCAGCCUGACUACUAGGGAGGCUGAGGCAGGAGAAUCGCUUGAACCCGGGAGGCAGAGGGAAAACACGGUGCCUCUACUAUAGUGGAUCCAGCCUUGAAGAGGCCUCACCCUGCCUCAACACCUCUUCCCCAAGACCCUGACGGCCAGGACAGUGUCUUUUUGCCUUCAGACUAGGCAGAGUGAGGUCCCCUGAGAGAGAUAAAUAUUGUGAUUUCCCCACCCAAAGUUAUUUGCAUUAGGUGAAAAAUGGCCACACAUUCUUUGUGGUUCCUCUCAUCAAGACAUACGGUCUCUUUCUCAUCCCUUGAAUCGGGGCAAAGCCUUGUGAUUUGCUCUGAUCAAAAGAACUUAGUAGAACCGACGUUGUCCCAGCCCCAGUUCCAGGCCCAGAACCCAAGAAAUCUUGCAGCUUCUACUCUCACUCUCCUGGAGCCCUAAGGCUGAAGCAGCCUGCUAGACAGGCCACAUGGAAGAGAACCAGGUCACCCCAACCAACAACCUGUCACCUGC